rnacentral:rRNA from 1 species
GACGAAUGCUGGCGGCGUGCCUAAUACAUGCAAGUUGAGCGAUGAAGAUUGGUGCUUGCACCAAUUUGAAGAGCAGCGAACGGGUGAGUAACGCGUGGGGAAUCUGCCUUUGAGCGGGGGACAACAUUUGGAAACGAAUGCUAAUACCGCAAAACAACUUUAAACAUAAGUUUUAAGUUUGAAAGAUGCAAUUGCAUCACUCAAAGAUGAUCCCGCGUUGUAUUAGCUAGUUGGUGAGGUAAAGGCUCACCAAGGCGAUGAUACAUAGCCGACCUGGGAGGGUGAUCGGCCACAUUGGGACUGAGACACGGCCCAAACUCCUACGUGAGGCAGCAGUAGGGAAUCUUCGGCAAUGGACGAAAGUCUGACCGAGCAACGCCGCGUGAGUGAAGAAGGUUUUCGGAUCGUAAAACUCUGUUGGUAGAGAAGAACGUUGGUGAGAGUGGAAAGCUCAUCAAGUGACGGUAACUACCCAGAAAGGGACGGCUAACUACGUGCCAGCCGCCGCGGUAA